rnacentral:misc_RNA from 1 species
UCAAAACAGCGGCCUUCGGGCCUCGCUGCACCCUUGUCUUUUGCGCACCGUAUGUUUCCUCGGCGGGCUUGCCUGCCGGUUGGACAUCAUAAAACCUUUUUGUAGUUGCAAUCAGCGUCAGAAAAACAAUAAUUAUUA